CUGCAUUCAUGUCCAUCUCAUGGUCCGUGUUUCUGAAACUAUUCAGGAAUUGUGGUGUAG
rnacentral:snoRNA from 1 species